UACGAAGGGGGCUAGCGUUGCUCGGAAUCACUGGGCGUAAAGGGCGCGUAGGCGGUCAUGCAAGUGAGAUGUGAAAUCCCCGGGCUUAACCUGGGAACUGCAUUUUAGACUGUGUGACUGGAGUACUGUAGAGGAUAGUGGAAUUUCCGGUGUAGCGGUGAAAUGCGUUGAUAUCGGAAGGAACGCCGGUGGCGAAAGCGGUCCGCUGGCCCUCUACUGACGCUGAGGCGCGAAAGCCAGGGGAGCAAACGGG
rnacentral:rRNA from 1 species